CAAAUGAGCCCUGCCAUUAUGGCUGAACUACGGGCUUAAUGUCUGCCAUGAGAAUUGGCUGAUUUCAGCAGAUAAGGCUGUUCUGCAGAAUGGCAGCUUGGAGGUUCAUCUAGGGGUCAGCAGGUCCCCUCAUAGGAGCCAGGUUUGGGUAGAUGGACUGAAUGUGUUUCAGGAAAAGUUCGAUUGGAGUGGGGAGAACAUUGAAUAUGAAAGCAGUCUGCAGAGAAAGAUGGAGCGCACAACUGAGAGAGAAACACUGGAGUGCAGAUGGAUGAAUUGGAUUGAAAUACAAAGAAUGAACAGUAUGUAGGAGUUCCAGAUAGAAGGACAGGAAAAUGAAUGGACUUCAUUGCAGCCUGAGUCUCAGCUGGCUGCGGGGGUCCCCGGGAUAGACUACAAAAGACUCUCUUGUCUUACUGACAAAACUCCAAUGGCGAGGAAUCAGCCUGAUCGACUGAAGGGAAUGGAUAUAAAGCAGAGGACAGUCUUACACACAGCUGGUGACUGAUGAAUGUGAUCAUUACUGAACUGAGGCUACUGUAGACAUGGAGAGAGUUGUAUCUCUUUCAUAGUCAUCUGAUUCAGUCACAUGUCUCUCUGUGUUUCUUGAGAUAUAGCUAGCAUGGUGGAUUGGCAUCGCCAAGCAGUGAGGACUAAGAAAGUUUUCAUUUAUUCAUAUACAUUCAUCAAUCAUAUACUGUACAUGUAUGCUCUUAGCGAACACAUUUUAACUAAAAGUGACACAAUAUAGUGCUCAAUCAUGUACCUGGCAAAUACGAGGAAGUGUGGCUUAGAAUACACAGUGUUUUAGUGCGGUAAGUGGCUUUUAGAUAAUAUUUCACAAAAUUCACUUACAAAGUUAUAUAGAAUAACAAACAGGCUGCUUUGCAAAACAAGGAUGCAUCCUUAGUGAACAUUUGAAAAUCACUGUUAACAUUAACAAUAGAAAUUUGGUGAUAAAUCAAUUAUUUUUGCCGCUAAUGUUAAAGAUGAAGUGUGCUCUUAUUUCAGUGUUAAAAUACUUUACCCUGGCUUAAUUUGCAGAGCCAUUUUUUAUUUAUUUUUUUAAUCCUGGCCAGCCCUGCAUUUGGGGAGGGACUAUCUGUUUUACUGACCAAUAGAAAAUUGGGGAGUGUUCAGGAAAUGUGAAAACAAACAUGUUUCAGGUUUAGUGCGGUCUAGUCAGAAACUUAAAUUUUCCUGUAAUGAUGCUUGUGUGUAUGUAUCUUAU